rnacentral:rRNA from 1 species
AUUGAACGCUGGCGGCAUGCCUUACACAUGCAAGUCGAGCGGCAGCGCGGGGGCAACCCUGGCGGCGAGCGGCGAACGGGUGAGUAAUGCAUCGGAACGUGUCCUCUUGUGGGGGAUAACCAGUCGAAAGACUGGCUAAUACCGCAUGAGAUCGAAAGAUGAAAGCGGGGGACCGCAAGGCCUCGCGCGAGAGGAGCGGCCGAUGCCCGAUUAGCUAGUUGGCGGGGUAAUGGCCCACCAAGGCGACGAUCGGUAGCUGGUAUGAGAGUA